GAUGAACGCUGGCGGCGUGCCUAAUACAUGCAAGUCGAGCGAACAGAUGAGGAGCUUGCUCCUCUGACGUUAGCGGCGGACGGGUGAGUAACACGUGGAUCACCUACCUAUAAGACUGGGAUACCUUCGGGAAACCGGUGCUACUACCGGAUAAUAUCUUCAACCGCAUGGUUCAAUAGUGAAAGACGGUUUUGCUGUCACUUAUAGAUGGAUCCGCGCCGCAUUAGCUAGUUGGUAAGGUAACGGCUUACCAAGGCAACGAUGCGUAGCCGACCGGCGAGGGGGGUGUGCCACACCAGAACGGAGACACGGUCCAGACCCCUACGGGAGGCAGCAGUAGGGAAUCGUCCGCAAGGGGCGAAAGCCUGACGUAGCAAAGCCGCGUGAGUGAUGAAGGGCUUCGGAUCGGAAAUCUCUGUUAUUAGGGAAGAACAAAUGUGUAAGUAACGAGGCACUUCUUGACGGUACCUAAUCAGAAAGCAACGGCUAACUACGUG
rnacentral:rRNA from 1 species